UGUGUACGGGGUACAUAUAUGUAACCGGUGCAGAUUUCGCGCGUACAUAUAUGUAUCCAGGGUGAAGUACAUAGGCGUAGGAACGUGUGUACACCCCUGGGGUGGGGCUCUCGCAGGACUGCUGCGGGAGGCAGCCGACGGUGAACACUCGAUACGACACGGUCGAUCGAACCAGUCGUAAUUUUAGUAUGAAACUGUUAUCUAAAAAUGAACGACUCAACGACACUCGCUAUUCUUUUCGCGAAACUCUCACGGGACUCGAGAGACGUGGGAGUGGGAUAACUGGAAUCGAAGGUUCUAAUACUUUUUGCCGAUACUUGAGACAAGAGGAGUAUAUAGAUAUAGAUAUAAAAGAUAAGAUGCUGAUAUUCGGUUUUGGAAAAAUGUAUACAUAUAAGGACGUUGUUGAAUUAGAAGUUAUAAUUUAAGUAUCCAGGACGUUUCAAGAAAGUUGAAGAAAAAUUUGGAUUAUGAAUUUUUUAAUAAUUAAGAAAAGAAAGCAAUAAAAUGGUUAUAAUAUAAAAAUUCAGUAAUUCCUUAACACUACAUAUUGGAACAACGAGUGAGAGUUUAUUUGAAACCCGAUUAGCCUCACAGACGUCGACUUUAUUGCCCGUAAUUAGUCGGUAUAAAUAAAGUCAUCGAAAUAAAGGUGGUGGAUUGGUAAGUAACAUCGGAAAUUUCAACGAUGUUUCAAGUAUGACUUCGCAUUAGUGGCCGGAUACGCGGAAAGGGUAUUUACGUAAUCUCGCGGGCGCUGGAUUGUUUUGUGCGCUGAAUUGAAUAGAAUAAGAUGUCACUUCACCAGGGAAGAGAAUAUUUUCAUGCUGGGAAUAUUUUAUACGAAAUUUAUGCCUCAGAGGGAUAGACAGAGAACGUGGGAAGGAACUUACCGUGUCUACGUAUAGAUAUUACUAUUUUACAGCGGACGGAGUAGAAUAAGAUGUCACCUCAAAUUGUCUCGAGUGACUAAAAUAGCUUUACGUUACAAACCUUAAAAGCAACGACGAAGACGCCAGCCGAAGGAGACUCGUAUGAAAUACACGCGCGAAACGGUGCGGCGUUACUCUAAAUUCACCUGUUUCCAAAUGAUAUGCAUUUCAGAAUUAAUUGCGUGCAAGUGCGAGCAUCUUUCAUGAUGUAUCGCUGUAACCCCGCUACUCACCUCCGUAUCUUCCUUUGAAUUAUUCUUACUUAAUUACGUCGCAUAUGCACCUCGACGACCCAUCAUAUUAUUAAGGGGGAUUUUAUUUGAUGUCACUCACGAGUACGAGUUUCCAUUAUACUUCCCUUUUACCUCCCUCUUAGAUAUUAAUAAAUUAUACUUUACACCCCUUAGUUUUCGUAUCUAAUUUUGAAUUUGUCAAAACUUGAGGUAUUUACAUCUAUCUUGGAUAUAAAUUUAAUAUGACAUCUUUGUUGGGAUAGCAAAAGAGUAUAAGUCAAAUUUUUGUCAAAACAGACUACGCUAAUAUAUUCUACAUUGCUAUCUAUGCUACAUUAUGGUAUUAUUAGAAGUGUUUUUCUGAAAAAUUAAUAAUUUUAUUAUAC